UUUUUGGAGGGAGAUAAGGAUUGUCUUGGAUGUCUUGAAUUCAAGGUGAUGGUAAGACAUCCAUGCAGCGGUAUCUAAGAAGAGUUAAAUACACAAGUCUGUACCUCAGCAUGGGGAUAGCACCAAAUUCUUAAAUUUAGGUGUUGUUAUCACGUAGAGGAUAGAAGGUGUUCAAAGACAGGGCAGGAAGCCCCUAAUUAGGGGGUAGGAAGAAGAGCCAAAUAUCUCCAAAGAGAUAUUUGGAGAGGUAAAACAAACAAACAAAUAAACAAACAAGGACAAGAACAGACCUGAUUUUUUUUUAUAUGGAGUGAUAUAUUAACUUUGAACUAUGUCAAAAUAAAAUAUCUGUGAUGAAACUGAACUAGAGCUGCUAACUAUUUGUUUUCUCCUGCCAGGCUCUUCCUUCCAUACCCAUAGCCCCUUCUGACUUUUGCCUUCUUCUCACAAAACCUGCUCCUCUGGCCCCAUGAGGAGGAAACAAUAUAUGGAAGCCAAAAUAUACCACUCCCCAGAGUUUAUUGUCAAAUAAUCAGGAAUUCUGUGAGCCAACUGUUAUAAACACAGAUGUUAUUAAAAAUAAAUUACAUGCAUUAUGGUUGAAUAAGUUCUCUUAAAAACAAAGACAACAAAUAAUCAAAAUGUAUAAUUUCUUAAAUAUUUUACUAUAUUUUACCAUAAUCUAUGCUCUUAAGGUUACUUAUGUCUGCUCUAUUUAUAUGAAAAAAUAUCAUGUAAUAGGGUGUCACUACGCAUCUCUUCUCAGCUCCUCAUUCAGUGAUGCCAUGUCGGUCACUUGAAAUCAGCUAUAGUGGAAGUACUUAGCAUGGAAACAGGCAAAUGGGACUGGGACUUAGACAUCUCUGGAGAGAGAUGACCAGUCUCCCUGGGACCCAAUAUGCUGCCUCCCAGUUCUGGCCUUUUGGAAGGCCUCGCUGAACUUCUCGCAUGUGUCCUCCUAGGAAUUCUGUUUUUCUUAAACUUACUUGAGUAGACAUUGGCUAUUCUCAAAUGAUUACCUGAUGACUUAGAACUGGACAUUUUCAAAAGACACUCACAUCGGAUCUUUUAGUGUCAGGGCUUCUGCAUCACCUUAGACUGGCAUCAACCAAUCAAGAAAUGUGCAAGCAUCCAUAUGAGACUCUGGGCUAAGUCAUUUAGAAACUGCAGGAUUGCAGAGGAAAUUGUUCUAGACUUAAGGGGUGUGGUGGACGAGGGACGGGUAGCGGGAAGAGGAUCCUGCACAAGACAGCGAGAACACGCUGCUUUCUAUCCUUCAGCGCUAGGAUCUUUGAACAGAAGUUGACAGUCCUGAGAAAUCCACUAUUAGCUCCAUUACAUUUCUACUUAUUAUUCUAUUCAUUGUUCUCUCACCUCAGGCCUUCCUAUUUACAUAAUGAGAAGAGAUUUGGUGGAGAGGAGGGGUAUGUAUCAAUUGUCAUGGGCCUGCCUUGUUAGUUUAUACUGUAAAUAACACACUUGUUUCCCAUGCUGCUGCUUUGGGGGACAUUCUGUUAAUUUCAGUCAUCAUCUUGUUUUCGCCAAAUUUGGCAGCAGAAUUUUUAGAGGAAUAUUCAGAUGGUUAGACAUGGUCAUUAUUUGAUGGUGCUUUAGCCAGUAUGUUUCUGGAAGACAGAUACAACUAAUAAGCAUGCCAGCUGAGAGCAGCGCUGGCUCACAGGGGCCAGCUUUCUGUGCAUUUAGACUGGAGAAUGAUUUCCCAUCCUCACUCAUGGGUGAAUCCACCUUUCUCAUCUACUCAUGCACCCUCAUGCUGCUAACAUAAAGGGCUAUAACUAGGGGCAGCCAUAUCAUUUGCAAGGCUGGGUACAAAAUGAAAAUGUGGGGUCUCUUGUUCAAAACACAAGCAAAACAUUGCUCCCUUUUUUCUACAGUCUCUCCCUGAAUCUAUUGUGCUCCUUUAGGCACAGGAUAUUCACGUGGUGAGUGUUAACCCUCCCCCGGUGCCUAGAGCUCUGCCCUGUGAUUCUGCAAGUGAGGCACAGACACCUGACUCAACCUCACUGCCCCAGAGCUCGCAUGGGAGUGAGGUGCGGUAGCUGGGCUACAAAUCAGGACUUAGACACCUCAGGGAGCAGGUAGCCAAGAACCCAUGUGAUGGAAAUGAGGACGCAGUGGGGGGUGGGGCUGCUGGUGAAACGAGUCUCCAAGCCCCAUAUCAUGCUCCAUUGUCCCACUGGAUUUCAUUUACAGAACACAAAGACAAAGAAAAUGUCUAUUAAGAAUUUUGAGAUGGUGUGGGACACCCGGGUGGCUCAGAGCUUGAGUAUCUGCCUUUGGCUCAGGGCAUGAUCCUGGAGUCACGGGAUCGAGUCCCACAUGGGGCUCCCUGCAUGGAGCCUACUUCUCCCUCUGCCUGUGUCUCCACCUUUCUCUUUCUGUAUCUCUCAUGAAUAAAUAAAUAAAUCUCAAAAAAAAAUUUUUUUGAUAUGGUGACCACAAAACAUUAACCCCAAACAUGAGGCCCCCUUCUAAGCGCAGGGCACUCUGUAAUUGCAUGUACCAUAUACCCAUGAAGCCAUUCCUCACAGUGAACUUCUUUUAUCUGUCAUGGUAACACUGGUUGGUGCACACUUGGCUUUGUAUGUAACAGCACAUGCUGAAGUUCACAUAUGUUUAAACAGUGAACAGGAAAGGUGCUCAGGAAGAGGGGAAGAGGGUAAAAGUCCAGUUGCAUCGGCUGAUUGCAAGUCACCAAUAAGUAUCUCUCAUUCUAUCACUGUUAACAGUUUGAAGCUUCUGCAUCUAAAUGAAGAAUAUUUUAAGACACUUGUUUUGAAUGACCAAUUCUAGGAUUAAAAGUACUCAAUAAGUAUUUGCCAAAGGAAUGCACUCAACCAUAACAAAAAAAUGGAAAUCAGGGUCUUUGCCUGUGCUUUUGGGAAAAGGAUGCAGUGUAAGCCAGUCUCUUGCAAUUUUCUAUGUUAACAAGCUUCAAGUGGACUUUGAGAAUUUCUUCUUACUGUCCUGUCCAACCCUGAUCUGCUAGAAGCAUUCUUUCAGACAUUUUUCUCCUUUUAUUAUAAAAAACCCAGAAGUGCUAUCAUGUAAGGCUUUCCUUUUCCAUCUGAGGAGCUUCUUCAGACAACUGUAACCAGGACUGAAGUCAGCUUUCCAGAGAGUCCUCAGAGCCUUCUUCAGUCCUAUGGCAGAUCAUUAGUCUAGUAACACUCAAACCUGAAGGGGGUGAGCACAGGGAGAAGAAUCUCUGUGGCUCCACAGAGGAAUAACCUACAGGCUUCCCAAAAAGGCAAGAGUGGGCAGUAAGACCACAUGAUCAAGAUGGUGCCUAAGUGAGAAAAACACUCAGGUCCAGCUCUUCAUGGUUGACAAAUUAAAGACCAGAUAUCCUUCCUGAAUGUUCAGGAAACUUCUGCUCAUUUAGAUCAACACCUGGCUUGUUUCCUUAUUCAGCAAUAAAGAUAUUCUUAUUUCUGGCCACAGACACUCUCCACCCCCCCUCCACAACCAUCUGCUUCCUGAGUUCUGUUUACCACUGCCCCCUAGAGCAUCACUGCCUUGGAAGAUAGACUAUAGUCACUCAGCUCCACCUCUGUCCUCCAGGAACCGUACACAGGUAUUUAGAAAGAGAGUCUCCUUUUGGUGGAGCACCUCCAUGAACUGUUAGUAGUAAAAGGGUUUUGAGGAUUCUUAAUCUGAUCUUUGAACGAAACCAGGGCACUUUCCUCAGAAUACCCAAAGAGAAGCCUGCUAGCCUUCAGUUCCAUAUUUCUGGACAGGGAGCCUUUUUUCAGGAUGCACUCCUUCUUUUAAUCAGCCAUUAGAAUAUAUACCACUGAGUACCUUUGAUGGGUCUGGCUAUAUGUUAGGUGACAGUGAAAAUGAUGGAAGGAAAGAAGGAAGGAAGGAAGGAAGGAAGGAAGGAAGGAAGGAAGGAAGGAAGGAAGGAAGGGAGGGAGGGAGAUGAAAGGGAGGGAGGAUGAGAAAGAAGGAGGAUGAGAGGAAGGGAGGAUGGAAGGAAGGAAAGGAGAGAGAAGAAAGAAAGGAAGAGAUGGAGAGAGGGAGGGAGGGAAGAAGAAAUGAUCUUAUUCAGUGCACAAUGCAAAUAGUUAAACUAUAUUAAGUUUAAGGAGGUUCAGGAAUAAAGGCACCUAUAUCCAACAAUCACAUUAUCCUGGGCUCUAGUCCCAGCUCUUCCACCUUUUACAUGACUUUAAGCAAGCUACAGACUCACCUGUAACAGAGGCUUCAUACCAACUCCUACAAAGCACUGUUUUGAGGAAUGAAGGAGUCUAACAUCAAGCCCUCAGCUGAGAUGCAGCUAUCAUCAUCAUCAUCAUCAUCAUCAUCAAUCAUCAAUGGUGCAGUUGAUGCAUUGGCAGAGUAUUCAUGCUUUCCAGUGUAAUCGUAAGGGAAUAAUGUGUAUUCACACAUCCACUUUAACCCCCUCCAACCUGUCCCCUACUAGUCACCAAAAUAAUACAAACAUGCCCACCUCCAUUUAAUCCCUCCUUUGGAUUCCCAUUUUCCCUGACCUGGA
rnacentral:lncRNA from 1 species